rnacentral:rRNA from 1 species
UACGAAGGGGGCUAGCGUUGUUCGGAAUCACUGGGCGUAAAGCGCAUGCAGGCGGAUUGUUAAGUCGGGGGUGAAAUCCCGAGGCUCAACCUCGGAACUGCCUUCGAUACUGGCAAUCUUGAGUCCGGGAGAGGUGAGUGGAACUGCGAGUGUAGAGGUGAAAUUCGUAGAUAUUCGCAAGAACACCAGUGGCGAAGGCGGCUCACUGGCCCGUUACUGACGCUGAGGCACGAAAGCGUGGGGAGCAAACAGG